UCGUAACUGACCAUUACACCUAUCUAUCUAACUCGCUAUUUACGGUUAUUUGUAGGUCGUAACUAGCGACACUAUUGUAAUGUCCGACGAUGGAACUAUUAGAAGCACAGACUCAGUCUUGGAGUGACGUUAUACGCAGCUCUUUGCGCAUAAUACCUGGCUAUUUUUAGACGGGGGACUCUCCAUUCCCAACGGUCGGGAAUAUGCUUAGUUUGAUACUCUAGCUUGGAAGUGAAGUGACAUCAGCUCCUGUAUGCAGUUGAAACAAAUGCUGUGAUUUAUGACAAGUUCUAAGACUAAUUCCUGAUGUGACAUACUAAGUAUUACGUAACCACUGGUGGAUUCAUUGGGACAGAGCAAACUGAAUGUGUCCGUUAUAUAUAACAACUGUAACAUUUAUACCAUUUUGUAAUUAAAUAUAUCAAUAUA